GAUCAAGAACGCAGCGAAAUGCGAUAAGUAAUGUGAAUUGCAGAAUUCAGUGAAUCAUCGAAUCUUUGAACGCACAUUGCGCCCGCCAGUAUUCUGGCGGGCAUGCCUGUUCGAGCGUCAUUUCAACCCUCAAGCCCCCGGGCUUGGUGUUGGGGAUCGGCGUGCCCUCGCGGCGCGCCGUCCCCUAAAUCUAGUGGCGGUCUCGCUGUAGCUUCCUCUGCGUAGUAGCAACACUCGCACUGGAUCGCAGCGCGGCCACGCCGUUAAACCCCCCACUUCUGAAAGUUUGACCUCGGAUCAGGUAGGAAUACCCGCUGAACUUAAGCAUAUCAAUAAGCGGAGGA
rnacentral:misc_RNA from 1 species